ACACACCACAGGCCAUCCCGUAAGUGCAUGGAGAGUGUAGGAUGCUCGGGUUAUAAAUCACAGCACGAAGCGUGGCACACUCAGAUGAGAGGAGGCAAAACGUGAGGCUUUUUGUUAUUUCAAAGGAGUAGAGGAACAAAAGCAAGAAUUCACAAAUGGGAUUACGUCAAUUAAAAAGUACAGCAAAGGAAAAACAAUCAACUGAGAGAAGAGAAAAUGUAUGCAAUGGCAGAGAAUCUUUGGCAGGUGUUUAUUUGACAAAGGAUUAAUAUCCAGUAUACAUGAAGAAAUCAAAAAAUUGAACAACAGAGGAAUGGAUAAUCCAAUCAAAAUGAGCAGAUGUUUUCAAAAGACACUUUGAAAAAUAAGAUAUACAACACCCAGCAUGGAAAUGGUGGCCACAAUUAGGUGCUUGCUGUUGCUCACAUUCAUGAUGUGGCCAUGUGUGAUGUUGACAUGACCUGUGUAAGAAUGCUUCAGAAAAAUGUGUCCACAUUCUGUGAUGACAAUGACAUGCUGACCGUCACUAUAAACUCAGGCACCGAGUAAGGAAAUGGUGAUGCCCACUUAGGAAGGAGAAGCCAUGAGCAAAAGAAAUAAUGUACAGUAUUUCCACUCACAGCCAGAUACAAGCGGCCCCUAUGAACCUUAUGGUUCAGCAAACUCCUCUGCUCAGAACUGGGCCCUUGAAUGAGUCUUGGUAACAUCGUCAGAGGAAU